rnacentral:misc_RNA from 1 species
GGAAGGAUCAUUAACACGUUCCUACCAAAACAAACUUCUAAAAAACAUUUGCGAACUUGUGUCGGCAGGCAUCAACACUUCGGUGCGCGUCGUCUGCCGCGUUUAAUUUAAAACAAACCUCUUAAACCACUUGAAAACUUGUUUGACAGUCUUAACAAAUCCACAAAUACUUAACUGUAUUUAUGGUAAAACGCUUAAAUACAACUUUUAGCAACGGAUAUCUUGGUUCUCGCAACGAUGAAGAACGCAGCGAAAUGCGAUACGUAAUGCGAAUUGCAGAAUUCAGUGAAUCAUCGAAUCUUUUGAACGCAAAUUGCGCUUUCGGGUUUCUGCCUGGAAGCAUGCCUCUUUGAGUAUCGGUUCACCCCUACUUCCUGACUUGCUCAGUGAAGUGACUUGAUGAGAGUCCGCAUCGAAAGACGUGGUCUCUUUAAAUACUAGGUGUAGAAGCAACAGCUGUAAGGCUUUUGCAUGGCUCUUCAACACUCGUUAAAUCGUAUUGAGGUAGAUCAGUCUUCCUUAUUCAAUAUGUGGAGUGUAAGUUCUCAUGUGAAGUUCGCCUGGUCCUGAUUUUGCUUGCGCCCACUCUCAGUUUGUAUGGUACAUGUAACAAUGUGUCAUGCACUGAAAUUUAAAAACCUUUAUCUGAUCUCAAAUGAGGCAGGAGGACCCGCUGAACUUAAGCAUAUUAAUAAGCGGAGGAAAAGAAACUAACAAGGAUUCCCCUAGUAACGGCGAGUGAAGCGGGAAUAGCUCAACUUGAAAAUUGGAGGGCUUCAGGCUCUCCGAAUUGUAGUCUAGAGAACUGGUGGCAGCGUGUGGCCCAGACCUAAGUCCUUUGGAAAAAGGCGUCACAGAGGGUGAGAACCCCGUCUAUGGUUUGGAGACCGCCGCGUACGUCGCUAGUUUCUACGAGUCGGGUUGUUUGGGAAUGCAGCCCAAAAUGGGUGGUAAAUUCCAUCUAAAGCUAAAUAUCUGCGAGAGACCGAUAGCGAACAAGUACCGUGAGGGAAAGAUGAAAAGAACUUUGAAAAGAGAGUUAAAAAGUGCUUGAAAUUGCUAAAAGGGAAGCAAUGGAAACCAGUAGUCGUGGCAUGCCCAUUUUCCUGUUUGGUUGGUGGAUGUAUGGUAUCAGGGAGUUGUUAUGACCUCUGGUGUUAUGCAGUAAGCCAACUGGGCAGUCCCUAUGGGUGUGCACGUGUCAAACCCGCUUUGGAAAUAAUCCACAGGAUAUGCGCUUGGAGGAAGGUAGCAGGAAUCUGUGUACGCAGUGAACUGUGUUAUAGCCUCUGGGGUCGUGCUGUGCGACUGGAGCGGGCGAGACUUGCCUCUAGCUAGGUGAGCUCCCUGUAGUGUAAGAUCGGGGUCUCUGUUUGUCAUUCGACCUUUGGACAACAAAGUUGUGCUUGGGUUGCGUGUGCAGGCACGGGUUCUGGUAUGAGCUGCAGCCUUGACGUAAAUGGUUUUCACUGACCCGUCUUGAAACACGGACCAAGGAGUCUGACAUAUAUGCGAGUAUUUGGGUGUUUAAAACCCUGAUGCGCAAUGAAAGUAAAGGCAGGCUUUUGUCUGCUGAGGUGGGACUCUAGCCCUUCCGUAGGCUCGCUAGAUGCACCAUCGACCGAUCGUUCACUUGUGGAGGAUUUGAGUAAGAGCAUAUCUGUCGGGACCCGAAAGAUGGUGAACUAUGCCUGGACAGGGCGAAGCCAGGGGAAACUCUGGUGGAGGCUCGUAGCGAUACUGACGUGCAAAUCGUUCGUCUGAUCUGGGUAUAGGGGCGAAAGACUAAUCGAACCAUCUAGUAGCUGGUUCCCUC